rnacentral:tRNA from 1 species
AGGACUGUAGCUCAGUGGUAGAGCACUACCUUGACACGGUAGGGGUCAGGGGUUCGAAACCCCUCAGUCCUA